AGUCAGUCACCAGGGCUGCUGAUAUGCUCGGGAGCUCUGGCAGGACGUCCCUAGACAGACUGCAGACGGGCUGGCCAUGACUGGCAGGGUCAUGCCUGGGCUCAUGAUCCUGAGGCUUCAGGACCCAAAGGACAGUGGAUCAAAGUGCUCUGCCACAGGCCACUGUGUUCCCUGGUGAGACCCCCCCCACUCCUGGCCACACAGGAGUUUCUGCUGACCCAGUGGCUCCAAGCUAAACUGGCAAAGAGUGACGAAUCUACUAGCCUCGGCUGGCUGGCAGGACAGAAAAAGACUCGUUCAGAUUCCCAGCACCCACAUAAAUCUGGACCCAGCAGUAGCAUCUGUGAUCCUGGCACUUCUAUGGAGAGAUGGAGACAGAAUCCCAGAACCUUGCAGGACAGCUAGCCUGGAGUCUACAGCAGUGAACAGUGACAGCCUGCUUCAGACAAGGUAGAAGAUCCAAGUACGAGAAGGCCCCCUCGCGCGCCCCGGGACCAGAGGCUCAGCUGAGCAAACAGGUAGGCGAGGACCAUCCUUAUCCGAGCCUGGAUGAGGGAAGAAGGCAGUUACCCUGUGCCAGGACCCAGGAAGCAGCUGGACUACGAGACAAUCUUAGCGCGGGAGCAACCAAGUCAGAACACAACACGGGAUGAAUCAAUCUGUCCUGUGUCGGGGGCUGGGGUGUGGGGCCUCCCAUGCUCCUCCUGCACCAGUCCACAGCAGGGUCAUAGCACAGCAGGGUCACAGCAGGAGCCAGGCACUGAGGUAGUGGUAGCCAGGAAGAUGCUCAGCAGUGCCCUCCACACUAUUUACCAUUUGCCACGCACAGAUGGGGCAAACAGAGAUGGCAUUGCAACAGACAAGCCCUGGGACCUUUCCUCUUUCUUUUGACACAUGACAUGCAGGCUAACCAAGGUAGCCCAGGGGUGGGGCAGGGCCAGCCAGGCCAGGGCUGGAUGAAAUGCACAGGUAGGUCCCCACAUACACCUGUGUGUGGUCAUGCUCCAGCACACAGCCUCACCAAGGCUCAGAUGGGCACACACUUUCCCAUGCGCUCACACUCACAGACCUGCAAUUCAAAGCAUGGCUGUGUGGCCAGCGUCUCUAGUGAGGCUUACAGGCAGUUAACCCAGCACUGCCCAUCACAUCCCCAGGCUCCCGGUCUUUUACUGACUUCCCCUCCACACCUUUGUGAGGAUCAGGGCCAGGCUCAAGCACUUACCUGCAC